AAACGCAUUCUUCGUUAUGUUCAGUUCACCCUGACAUUUGGUAUGCAUAUUCGGCCGACUUCCUCUCGGGUCCUUUCGGCCUUCUCUGAUGCAGAUUGGGCUGGUAGCCCAGAUGACAGGCGAUCCACGGGGGGUUAUGCAGUAUUCUUUGGCUCUAAUUUGAUCGCCUGGAGUGCUCGGAAACAGGCUACUGUGUCACGUAGCAGUACUGAAGCUGAGUACAAGGCUGUGGCUAAUGCUACUGCAGAGAUUAUUUGGGUGCAGUCUUUGCUUCAGGAGUUGGGUUUGUCUCAACCACAGCCUCCUAUUCUUUGGUGUGAUAACAUCGGUGCUACAUACCUUUCUGCAAAUCCAGUAUUUCAUGCCCGAAUGAAACACAUUGAAGUUGACUAUCACUUUGUAUGGGAACGUGUAUCACAGAAGCAACUCCAGAUCAAGUUUAUCUCAUCUAAGGAUCAACUUGCAGACAUCUUCACUAAGCCUUUACCGCUGCCACAGUUUGAGGCUUGUAGG
rnacentral:rRNA from 1 species